UACGUAGGGGGCAAGCGUUGUCCGGAAUCAUUGGGCGUAAAGAGCGUGUAGGCGGCCAGAAAAGUCCGCUGUGAAAACUCGAGGCUCAACUUCGAGCUGUCGGUGGAAACCCCCUGGCUAGAGUCCGGAAGAGGAGAGUGGAAUUCCUGGUGUAGCGGUGAAAUGCGCAGAUAUCAGGAAGAACACCCGUGGCUAAGGCGGCUCUCUAAUACGGUACUGACGCUGGGGCGCGAAAGCGUGGGGAGCGAACAGG
rnacentral:rRNA from 1 species